rnacentral:rRNA from 1 species
UACGGGGGGAGCAAGCGUUGUUCGGAUUUACUGGGCGUAAAGGGCGCGUAGGCGGCGUAACAAGUCACUUGUGAAAUCUCCGGGCUUAACCCGGAGCGGCCAAGUGAUACUGUUGUGCUAGAGUGCGGAAGGGGCUACUGGAAUUCCUGGUGUAGCGGUGAAAUGCGUAGAGAUCAGGAAGAACACCGGUGGCGAAGGCGCUCUGCUAGGCCGCAACUGACACUGAGGGACGAAAGCUAGGGGAGCGAAUGGG